rnacentral:rRNA from 1 species
AGAGUUUGAUCCUGGCUCAGAAUCAACGCUGGCGGCGUGCCUAACACAUGCAAGUCGCACGAGAAAGGGGAGCAAUCCCUGAGUAAAGUGGCGCACGGGUGAGUAACACGUGACUUAUCUACCUCCGAGUGGGGAAUAACCUAGAGAAAUCUGGGCUAAUACCGCAUAACACUUACGAGUCAAAGCAGCAAUGCGCUUGGAGAGGAGGUCGCGGCCGAUUAGCUAGUUGGCGGGGUAAUGGCCCACCAAGGCGAUGAUCGGUAUCCGGCCUGAGAGGGCGCACGGACACACUGGAACUGAAACACGGUCCAGACUCCUACGGGAGGCAGCAGUGGGGAAUUUUGCGCAAUGGGGGAAACCCUGACGCAGCAACGCCGCGUGGAGGAUGAAAUAUCUUGGUAUGUAAACUCCUUUCGAUGGGGAAGAUUAUGACGGUACCCAUAGAAGAAGCCCCGGCUAACUUCGUGCCAGCAGCCGCGGUAAUACGAGGGGGGCAAGCGUUGUUCGGAUUUAUUGGGCGUAAAGGGUGCGUAGGCGGUUUGGCAAGUCUUAUGUGAAAUCUUCGGGCUCAACCCGAAGUCUGCAUAAGAAACUGCCGGGCUUGAGUAUGGGAGAGGUGAGUGGAAUUUCCGGUGUAGCGGUGAAAUGCGUAGAUAUCGGAAGGAACACCUGUGGCGAAAGCGGCUCACUGGACCAUAACUGACGCUGAGGCACGAAAGCUAGGGGAGCAAACAGGAUUAGAUACCCUAGUAGUCC